rnacentral:rRNA from 1 species
AGUGAACGCUGGCGGUAGGCCUAACACAUGCAAGUCGAACGGCAGCACAGUAAGAGCUUGCUCUUACGGGUGGCGAGUGACGGACGGGUGAGGAAUACAUCGGAAUCUACUUUUUCUUGGGGGAUAACGUAGGGAAACUUACGCAAAUACCGCAUACGACCUACGGGUGAAAGCAGGGGAUCUUCGGACCUUGCGCGACUGAAUGAGCCGAUGUCGGAUUAGCUAGUUGGCGGGGUAAAGGCCCACCAAGGCAACGAUCCGUAGCUGGUCUGAGAGGAUGAUCAGCCACACUGGAACUGAGACACGGUCCAGACUCCUACGGGAGGCAGCAGUAGGGAAUAUUGGACAAUGGGCGCAAGCCUGAUCCAGCCAUACCGCGUGGGUGAAGAAGGCCUUCGGGUUGUAAAGCCCUUUUGUUGGGAAAGAAAAGCAGCAGGUUAAUACCCCGCUGUUCUGACGGUACCCAAAGAAUAAGCACCGGCUAACUUCGUG